rnacentral:rRNA from 1 species
AUUGAACGCUGGCGGCAUGCUUUACACAUGCAAGUCGAACGGUAACAGGGAGCUUGCUCCGCUGACGAGUGGCGAACGGGUGAGUAAUGCAUCGGAACGUACCCAGUCGUGGGGGGAUAACGUAGCGAAAGUUACGCUAAUACCGCAUACGUCCUGAGGGAGAAAGCGGGGGGGCCGAAAGGCCUCGCGCGAUUGGAGCGGCCGAUGUCGGAUUAGCUAGUUGGUAGGGUAAAGGCCUACCAAGGCGACGAUCCGUAGCGGGUCUGAGAGGAUGAUCCGCCACACUGGGACUGAGACACGGCCCAGACUCCUACGGGAGGCAGCAGUGGGGAAUCUUCGCGCAAUGGGCGAAAGCCUGACGCAGCGACGCCGCGUGAGUGAUGAAGGCCUCGGGUUGUAAAGCUCUGUGAGGGGGACGGAAGUAAAGGGCGUAGGCGUAACAUCCAGCUUGAUGACGGUACC